rnacentral:ncRNA from 2 species
GUAGUUCUUCAGGGCGGGGUGCGACUCCCCACCGGCGGUAACCUUAAAAGGAAGCCCGCAAGCCGACACGACCAUGCGUUGUGAGAGCAGACCCGGUUAAAUUCCGGGGCCGACGGUAAAGUCCGGAUGAAAGAAGAACGGG